rnacentral:rRNA from 1 species
UACGGGGGGGGCAAGCGUUGUUCGGAAUUACUGGGCGUAAAGGGCUCGUAGGCGGCCAACUAAGUCAGACGUGAAAUCCCUCGGCUUAACCGGGGAACUGCGUCUGAUACUGGAUGGCUUGAAUCCGGGAGAGGGAUGCGGAAUUCCAGGUGUAGCGGUGAGAUGCGUAGAUAUCUGGAGGAACACCGGUGGCGAAGGCGGCAUCCUGGACCAAUACUGACACUGAGGAGCGAAAGCCAGGGGAGCAAACGGG